UGGGGAAUAUUGCACAAUGGGCGCAAGCCUGAUGCAGCCGUGCCGCGUGUGUGAAGAAGGCCUUCGGGUUGUAAAGCACUUUCAGCGAGGAGGAAGGUGGUGGACUUAAUACGUUCAUCAAUUGACGUUACUCGCAGAAGAAGCACCGGCUAACUCCGUGCCAGCAGCCGCGGUAAUACGGAGGGUGCAAGCGUUAAUCGGAAUUACUGGGCGUAAAGCGCACGCAGGCGGUUUGUUAAGUCAGAUGUGAAAUCCCCGGGCUCAACCUGGGAACUGCAUUUGAAACUGGCAAGCUAGAGUCUCGUAGAGGGGGGUAGAAUUCCAGGUGUAGCGGUGAAAUGCGUAGAGAUCUGGAGGAAUACCGGUGGCGAAGGCGGCCCCCUGGACGAAGACUGACGCUCAGGUGCGAAAGCGUGGGGAGCAAACAGGAUUAGAUACCCCUGGUAGUCCACGCUGUAAAACGAUGUCGAUUUUGGAGGUUGUG
rnacentral:rRNA from 1 species